GUUCACUGCCAAUUAUAUAAAACAGGGGUCUCCAAGCCUUGGGCUGCAGACGGGUGUAGAUUCAUGGCCUGUUAGAAACUAGGCUGCACAGCAGGAGGUGAGCAGCGGGGGAUGAAAAGAGAAUGCUUUCACCUGAUCAUGGAUGCAUGCCUGAGACUGAGUUAAGCUGCUCUCACAAAGACACCAUAAUUGGCAGAGCAGCUACAAUUAAGAUUACUACUGGAUCAGUUCACAUUUAAGACAAUUACCGCACAGCUGGGCAAAUAUGCUGGCAUGCAAGUGCCUUUCCGUUUUGAAGCUCUCAUUGUGAAGAAGAAGCCUGGAGAGUCAACAGAAAAAUUAAUUACAAUUGAGCAGAGCAAACUCCAUCAUAUUCAAUCAAUAUUUACCUACCAAACAAAAAUAAGAUAUUGAUGGUUAAUUAUUUAUUAUUGUCAGGCUUAUUUUGAACAUUUUUUCUUGUAUAAAAGGACUCUGGCCCUGUAGGUCCAUAAUUCUAAGAGAAAUAUCCUUAGUGUGGGGCUGAACUUCAAACUAAGGAGAACUGAAUCUUAAUAAAAUCAUAGCAGUCAC